GACGAACGCUGGCGGCGUGCCUAACACAUGCAAGUCGAGCGGAGACAGUGAGUAGCUUGCUAUGAGCUGUUUUAGCGGCGGACGGGUGAGUAACGCGUGAGCAACCUUUCCCAGACAGGGGAAUAACACACCGAAAGGUGUACUAAUACCGCAUAAGACCACGGGAUCACAUGGUUCUGAGGUAAAAGAUUUAUCGGUUUGGGGUGGGCUCGCGCCCGAUUAGGUAGUUGGUGAGGUAACGGCCCACCAAGCCGACGAUCGGUAGCCGACCUGAGAGGGUGAUCGGCCACAUUGGGACUGAGACACGGCCCAAACUCCUACGGGAGGCAGCAGUGGGGAAUAUUGGGCAAUGGAGGGAACUCUGACCCAGCAACGCCGCGUGGAGGAAGAAGGUUUUCGGAUCGUAAACUCCUGUCCUUGGAGACGAGUGGAAGACGGUAUCCAAGGAGGAAGCCCCGGCUAACUACGUGCCAGCCGCCGCUGUAAAAC
rnacentral:rRNA from 1 species